AGUGAACGCUGGCGGUAGGCCUAACACAUGCAAGUCGAACGGCAGCACAGUAAGAGCUUGCUCUUACGGGUGGCGAGUGGCGGACGGGUGAGGAAUACAUCGGAAUCUACUUUUUCGUGGGGGUUACCGAGGGAAAAUUUCCGCUAUAACGCAUAACGCCCUCGGGUGGAACCAGGGGGUUUUUCGACCUUUGGCGGGUUGAAGGAGCCGCGUCCGGUUUGCUAGUUGGGGGGGUAAAGGGCCACCAAGGCGACGAUCCGUAGCGGGUCUGGGAGGAUGAUCAGCCAGACUGGAACUGAGACACGGUCCAGACCCCUACGGGAGGCAGCAGUGGGGAAUAUUGGACAAUGGGCGCAAGCCUGAUCCAGCCAUACCGCGUGGGUGAAGAAGGCCUUCGGGUUGUAAAGCCCUUUUGUUGGGAAAGAAAAGCAGCAGGUUAAUACCCCGCGGUUCUGACGGUACCCAAAGAAUAAGCACCGGCUAACUUCGUG
rnacentral:rRNA from 1 species